rnacentral:rRNA from 1 species
UCCGGAGGGUGCAAUCGUUAUCCGGAUUUACUGGGUUUAAAGGGUGCGUAGGCGGCUUUUUAAGUCAGUGGUGAAAGCCUAGUGCUUAACACUAGAAUGGCCAUUGAUACUGGAAAGCUUGAGUCAAGGAGAGGUAAGCAGAAUUUAUAGUGUAGCAGUGAAAUGCUUAGAUACUAUAAGGAAUACCAAUAGCGAAGGCAGCUUACUGGCCUUGCACUGACGCUGAGGCACGAAAGCGUGGGGAGAAAACAGG